GAUGAACGCUGGCGGCGUGCUUAACACAUGCAAGUCGAACGAAGCACUUUCUUACGAUCCCUUCGGGGUGACGAGUUAGUGACUGAGUGGCGGACGGGUGAGUAACGCGUGGGUAACCUGCCUUAUACAGGGGGAUAACAGUUGGAAACGGCUGCUAAUACCGCAUAAGCGCACAGUACCGCAUGGUAUAGUGUGAAAAACUCCGGUGGUAUAAGAUGGACCCGCGUCUGAUUAGCUAGUUGGUGAGGUAACGGCCCACCAAGGCGACGAUCAGUAGCCGAUCUGAGAGGAUGAACGGCCACAUUGGGACUGAGACACGGCCCAGACUCCUACGGGAGGCAGCAGUGGGGAAUAUUGCACAAUGGGCGAAAGCCUGAUGCAGCGACGCCGCGUGAGUGAUGAAGUAUUUCGGUAUGUAAAGCUCUAUCAGCAGGGAAGAUAAUGACGUAC
rnacentral:rRNA from 1 species